rnacentral:rRNA from 1 species
AGGGAAUAGAUACCCAGGUAGUCCACGCUGUAAACGAUGGGUACUAGGUUUGGUGGGUCUUGACCCCCGCCGAAACCGGCGCUAAACGCACUAAAGUACCCCGCCUGGGAAGUACGGUCGCAAGACUAAAACUCAAAGGAAUUGACGGGGCCCGCACAAGCGGUGGAUCAUGUGGUUUAAUUCGAAGCAACGCGAAGAACCUUACCUGGAUUUGACAUCCUCUGACAACCCUAGAGAUAGGGCUUCUGUAGCAAUACAGCAGAGAGACAGGUGCUGCAUGGCUGUCGUCAGCUCGUGUGGUGACAUGUUGGGUUAAGUCCCGCAACGAGCGCAACCCUUGUCCUUAGUUGCCAGCAUUCGUAGGUU